AUCAUCACCAAGUUAUCUCUAAAUCUCAAUCGAUAAAUAUACAAGACUCUUAUCUUUGACUUUUUCAGCUUGAUUGCUCCUUUGAUUAAUAGUCAUGUAUGUAUAUCUGAUAACUGCCAGAUGAAUUUCAUCUAUGCGUUAAUUUUAUUAUAAAUUUUCGUCUUCUUUCUUCCUCUCUCUCCAUUCCGGAAGCCGGGAACCUCUUCUCGGCGGACUUCUACUUCGAGGCUGGCAACAAAGGAAAGUUAUGCUUUGCUGCGAUUGACUAAUCGAAGUUCCUAUUCAAGAAGUAAGAAAAACUUUUACCGUUCUUCGUAACCGUCAAUUACUGAGAAACCCAUAAGAAGAGGACGAUGAUCAACUGUAAUAAUUGUAAGGUCUUCUCGUCGGCUACAUCUAUGAUGACGGUCCUCUUCUAAUCGGCGGAUUUGGUAAGUUUGGUUUAGGCCAGAGUCAGGUCAUUCUUAGGUCACCGAGGUAUCGAUUAAAGAUUAAAUCUCUUAAUAUUUCAUCUGAAACUUGAGACAAAAUUUGAAAUCAUAUUUGGAGGACUGAUAUAGAGAAUGUGCAUAUGAAUAUAAAAGCUACACCUACUGAUUUGAUAGGUGAGCCUGUAAAGAAGUUGCAUACUGCUCGGAGUUGAAAUGAUCAAGUUUGUACUGAUUUUUGGCUGUGAUGUCGAGAUGCCAUUGAUGCAAUUUGUUAUCGUGUCAAUCUUAUUCAGGUUGAAUUAGUAAAGUUUGCUGUUGCAAACAGUGAUAUUAUAGUUCCUGGUUACACUCAUUUGCAAAGGGCACAACCUGUUUUACUACCUCAUCUUCUUUUAUCCUAUGUUAAACAAAGGAUUUCAAGAAAUGACCGAAAAGAUCUAGAUCAAUACUGAUUGCAUAAGUCGCAAGAUUGGCGAUCUUAAGAACUGUUCAUAUGUUGAGGUAAUUAAUCAUUUCUUCUAUCUUGAUGUAUUUCACUGCCAUCCAUCCUUAGAGAAUUACUUCAUGAUGUGAAUGUGAUGAACUUAGCCAUCAAUAUCCAAUAUUGUUCAGAUUUGCUGGUAUUUUAUUGAAUCUUGGAAGCAAUUUAUGAUUAAUGGAAGAGUUGAUGUUAUUGAUAAGUCAUGUUUAGACUUGAUGAAGCUUCGGUUAAAAUUCUUCUU